rnacentral:rRNA from 1 species
UACGUAGGGUCCGAGCGUUGUCCGGAAUUAUUGGGCGUAAAGAGCUCGUAGGCGGUGUGUCACGUCGGCCGUGAAAACCUGCAGCUUAACUGUGGCGUGCGGUCGAUACGGGCAUCACUGGAGUUCGGCAGGGGGAGACUGGAAUUCCUGGUGUAGCGGUGAAAUGCGCAGAUAUCAGGAGGAACACCGGUGGCGAAGGCGGGUCUCUGGGCCGAUACUGACUGAGGAGCGAAAAGCGUGGGGGAGCGAACGG